rnacentral:tRNA from 1 species
GCAGCUGUGGUCGAGUGUUUAAGGCGAUGGACUAGAAAUCCAUUGGGGUCUCCCCGCACAGGUUCGAAUCCUGUCGACUGCG